GGGUGCAACUGUAUCAACACUAAUACACUGGAUCCCAUCAAAACUCCAAAGUUAAGCAUGCUUGGGUGAGAGCAGUACUAGGAUGGGUGACCUCUUGAGAAGUCCUCGUGUUGCACCCC